ensembl:lncRNA
GAGGGAAUGGUUUUUUUCUUCUUCCAGGAGCCAGAAAAAGUGAUCGUUAGAUUUGUCUUGUAAAAUAAAACUGUUCCGUGGCAGGGACGAGCCUUUAAGCUUCUCCGGUGUAUCUGGCACCCUGGCUUCUCUCUGGGAGGAAGGAAGAGUGUCUAUUCAUGGGCUGUGACUUGGAGAGGCCCCACGGGAAAGCCCUUGGACUGACACUUACCACCAUGUGGAUCUUGGAGAAAAGCAAAAGAGAUCCUGAUCCUCAACACUGAUGUUCUAAAAGAACGUGCCUGAGGCUUUCUAUUCUCUACCACACGAUGUUGAAGCAAGGACAGCCAUUCAUGACUGUGGGAUACAGAUGCCCCCUAGCAUUAUGAAUGGCAUCCCUGAAUACCACUGUGGAGCCUACACAUCUGAAAAUGUUACUGCCGAACCUGUAGGUUUUCACUAGCUGGCUCCACCUGAUGUGGCUGAUGUAGCCUCAGUCUGGGACACAGUUUUCCUACUCAAUGCCAGGACGCCUGGGCAAUGUGGCACCCACACUGUCAUUCCUAUCUGUUUGAGUGUACCCCUCUUCUUCCCCAACACCACCGGCCAAGCAGAUUACAUUAUCCUAAGCAGCCAGCAGGAAAAUAAAAAUGGAAUGUGAUUCUGUAUUUUAGUGCCCACUUCUGAAGAUUCCUCCACCAUAGUUAUGAUGCCCAAUUGGAUGCCCAGUACACAGAAACUUGUGCCCUUGAACACACCUUCUACCCUGUGCAUCCUUGUGACAGCCUUUCUGAUGUCAGCCUAUGCUUCCACGACCUGGGUCAAGAGCUGCACUUGCCCAGGGAGCCUAUCACAGCAUUACAGGUGAUGACCUGAUCCCAGACAACCACCCCUCAGAAAAUGACUACCCAGUUACACACAUCAUCUGCCAAGGUGCCCCUGCCAGAACACAGGCAUCUUCCCCUCAGGGGAUAGCCCACUCAGCAUAUACCAUACACUCAAAAGAGGUGAACACCAGACAGACCUGCAAACUUAACCCUCUCCUCCCCGUUGGGCACAAUAAACCC